AUAUUGCGACCUCCAUACUUGGAUGCAUGAGACUAAGUGCUUUUCUUGAGUUGAUCUCGAGCUUUCCGCGAGUGCACCAUGCGUACCACCCCUGGGCGGCCAAGAAGCGGGUUAUUUCUUAUUGAGGGAUCGUUAAAUGCUAUCCUUUUCCUUAUGAUAACUAUGACUGCCUGAUAACCGCUAUUUACGCCAAAGCGUGGCCUGACGUGAAGUGGGUUGAUAGUCGAAAUGGAUAGUCGAAAACAAAACAUUUCCUACUAAAACUCCAAUGCGACAAGAACCACCUAGCAGUCAGCCUUCACUGGUUUGCUCAUGACGACAAACAAGCGCUAUUCAUUGCAAUUAGGGGAUUAUGUCAAGAAAACAUUAAAUAGUUAAAACAGUAAAAGGAAGAGAUUUAAGAUUUUUUCUUUAGAAAAUAUAAUUCAAGCAUUGUAUUUUAAUACUAGGAGUUGAAGUUUGCGUUACAAGAAUAUGAGUAGUUUUGCGUUAAAAAAAUGGUGACGGUUGUGUAUUUGAAGUGUCUAAAUACCCAAAUGCCGGGAAUGCGUGCCCAAAUACUUGAUACCCGGCAACUUUAAUGGUUAAAAAAAAUGGCCAUAUGAAUCAUAUUUAUCCAUUCAAAUCCAUGUGGUAUUGUUAAAAACUUGGAAGCGAUUCCGAUGCAAGAAGCGCUUGUUAUUCAGAGCGAUUCGCAAAGGCUAGACACACUAACCUCCGGGAGCGAUUGUCAAAACACUACAUACCCGACAGGUUUUGCAUUUCUUUUAAAAUCACCAAAGGAACAAUAUUUGAAAAUAUAUAAACAUGUACCAUUGCUUAGAAUUUGAAAACGAUCUUGAUUCACGAAACAAUCAUGUAUCAAUGCAGAUUCGCAAAUAACUCAAAUCGAGAUGCAUGAGCGAAUACAACCUCACGGGAACGAUUGUGAAAACACUGCGUACCCGACAAGUUUUUUUUUCUAAUCUCUAAAACAAUUUCUUAUCUCAAAACGUGUAGCAUUGCUAACAACUUAGAAGCGAUCUUAAAUCGCUCUCAACUGCCGACCAUAAUUCGAGCGAUUCGCAAGGAACUCAAUUCGGAAAAAAAACAGCGUGGUUUGUUGUCGGGUUUCUAGGCUUUUGAGAAUCUUUCCUGUGAGUUAACUCGCAAUUUUAUGUAGAAAAUAUGAAUCAUAAUCACUUCAAGUUUUCAGGCUGUCGGGUAGGUAUCGUUUUGACAAUCGCUCGCGUGAGGUUCCUUUGUGCGUAAUUAUAACAAGUGUCUACUCGAAUUUCUUGUUUGUGUGCCCACUUUGUGAAUCGCUCUAACUAACAACCGCUUCGUGCAUCAGAACCGCCUUUAAUUUCUGAGCAAUGCUACAUGGUUUUGGUUUGAUAACUAUGAUUCAUAUGGCUAUUUUUUUACAAAAUUAUAAAAGUUGCCGGGUAUCUAGUAUUUUACAAAAUUAUAAAAGUUGCCGGGUAUCUAGUAUUUGGGCAUGCGUUCCAGGCUCUCGGGUAUGUAGACAAGUUCGUUGUGUAUUGCUUGAUGUCACAGAACUCUCACGAUGAUGAGAGAACUCUAAACUUAAGUAGUAAUGAUUGUUAUCAGAUCUUUACGGUUUAAAUAAGGCUUACUAGUAAGGUUUACUAGUUUGGCGAAAUAGUUUAAUUAAGGUAUCGAUGAUAUUUGGUAUCUUGCGUUAGAGAAUAGAUUAUAAUCGCCAAAUUCACAAAUCUUUGUACGGAAACUAGAAGGCAACCUUAGAAAAGUAUAAGAAUAGACUUGGAAAUCAUACAUACCUAUCGGUUCUUGCAGUAUCUUGAGGUCUGACUCUAAAUCGAACCGUGGCAGUGAAACGGUCUAAUUGGUAGUGAAUAAGUGUCCCCAAAAACUAUACCUUCGGCGGUGUAGCGGUUAGAAUCUCGCUAGCUGAUUGGUCAGAAAUGUUAAUAUUAUUGAGUCACGUGUUGAAAUGACAAAGGCUAAAAAUAUAACGUAUAUAGCUUUCACAAAUGAAAAAUAUGCAUACAUUCAAACCCCUGUGGCAAAGUUCGAGGAUAUAUUGG